rnacentral:rRNA from 1 species
UACGUAGGGUGCAAGCGUUAAUCGGAAUUACUGGGCGUAAAGCGUGCGCAGGCGGUUUUGUAAGUCUGACGUGAAAUCCCCGGGCUCAACCUGGGAAUUGCGAUGGAGACUGCAAGGCUUGAAUCUGGCAGAGGGGGGUAGAAUUCCACGUGUAGCAGUGAAAUGCGUAGAGAUGUGGAGGAACACCGAUGGCGAAGGCAGCCCCCUGGCACAACACUGACGCUUAGGUGCGAAAGCGUGGGGAGCAAACAGG